UAAAACUGCUAACCUAGAGAUUGAAAGAGGAUAGAGGAAUUCCUAGUGUAGAGGUGAAAUUCGUAAAUAUUAGGAGGAACACCAGUGGCGAAGGCGUCUAUCUGGUUCAAAUCUGACGCUGAGGCGCGAAGGCGUGGGGAGCAAACAGGAUUAGAUACCCUGGUAGUCCACGCUGUAAACGAUGAAUGUUAAAUAUGGGAAGUUUACUUUCUGUAUUACAGCUAACGCGUUAAACAUUCCGCCUGGGGACUACGGUCGCAAGAUUAAAACUCAAAGGAAUUGACGGGGACCCGCACAAGCGGUGGAGCAUGUGGUUUAAUUCGAUGCAACGCGAAAAACCUUACCACUCCUUGACAUGGAAAUUAUACCUAUUCGAAGGGAUAGGGUCGGUUCGGCCGGAUUUCACACAGGUGUUGCAUGGCUGUCGUCAGCCCGUGUCGUGAGAUGUUGGGUUAAGUCCCGCAACGAGCGCAACCCUCAUCCUUAGUUACCAUCAGGUAAUGCUGGGGACUUUAAGGAAACUGCCAGUGAUAAACUGGAGGAAGGUGGGGAUGAUGUCAAGUCAUCAUGGCCCUUAUGGAGUGGGCUACACACGUGCUACAAUGGUGGCUACAAUGGGCUGCAAAGUCGCGAGGCUAAGCUAAUCCCUUAAAAGCCAUCUCAGUUCGGAUUGUACUCUGCAACUCGAGUACAUGAAGUUGGAAUCGCUAGUAAUCGUGGAUCAGCAUGCCACGGUGAAUACGUUCUCGGGUCUUGUACACACUGCCCGUCACGCCAUGGGAAUUGGUUUCACUCGAAGCUAACGACCUAACCGCAAGGAGGGAGUUAUUUAAAGUGGGAUCGGUGACUGGGGUGAAGUCGUAACAAGGUAGCCGUAGAAUCACUAGUGAAUUCGCGGCCGCCUGCAGGUCGACCAUAUGGGAGAGCUCCCAACGCGUG
rnacentral:rRNA from 1 species